rnacentral:misc_RNA from 1 species
CACCAAUUUGUCUUUCUUUCGCCGUCGUCUCUUCUCCCGCUCUUUUUUCUUCUGCGUUUACCCGUUUUUCCUCACUAAUUCCACCUUAUGAUCAAGCUUCAAUACCCAAAGGUCUAAGGGUUUCAACCUUCUUCUCUUUUGUCGUUAUUGCAUCAUUGCGGAUCAUCUCCUGUCUCUGUCUGCUUUAAACUUGUGAGACAACUUGAAAGCUGCCAUGGGAUAUGCACAACUAGUUAUUGGUCCUGCCGGCAGUGGAAAGUCAACUUACUGCUCUAGCUUGUACCAACACUGUGAGACAGUUGGCCGAACUAUGCAUGUUGUGAAUCUUGACCCUGCUGCUGAAAAUUUCGACUAUCCUGUAGCCAUGGAUAUUAGGGAGCUUAUUUCAUUGGAGGAUGUCAUGGAGGAGC